rnacentral:rRNA from 1 species
GACGAACGCUGGCGGCGUGCUUAACACAUGCAAGUCGUACGGUAAGGCCCUUUCGGGGGUACCCGAGUGGCGAACGGGUGAGUAACACGUGAGUAACCUGCCCACAACUUUGGGAUAACGCUAGGAAACUGGUGCUAAUACUGGAUAUGUGCUCCUGCUGCAUGGUGGGGGUUGGAAAGCUCCGGCGGUUGUGGAUGGACUCGCGGCCUAUCAGCUUGUUGGUGGGGUAGUGGCCUACCAAGGCGGCGACGGGUAGCCGGCCUGGGAGGGUGACCGGCCACAUUGGGACUGAGAUACGGCCCAGACUCCUACGGGAGGCAGCAGGGGGGAAUAUUGCACAAUGGGCGCAAGCCUGAUGCAGCAACGCCGCGUGCGGGAUGACGGCCUUCGGGUUGUAAACCGCUUUCAGCAGGGACGAAGCUGUUUGUGACGGUACCUGCAGAAGAAGCACCGGCUAACUACGUG